GACGAACGCUGGCGGCGUGCCUAAUACAUGCAAGUAGAACGCUGAGGCGAGGAGCUUGCUCUACUUGGGUGAGUUACGAACGGGUGAGUCACGCGUAGGUAACCUGCCUGGUAGCGGGGGAUAACUAUUGGAAACGCUAGCUAAUAACACAUACAAUUGAUUAUCGCAUGAUAAUCGAUAGAAAGGUGGAAUUGCAUCACUACCAGAUGGAACUGGGUUGUAUUAGGGAGUUGGGGGGGUAACGGCUCACCAAGGCGGCGAUACAUAGCCGACGGGGGAGGGGGGUCGGCGGCACUGGGAGUGGGACGCGGCCCAGAGGACUACGGGAGGCAGCAGAAGGGAAUGGGCGGCAAUGGACGGAAGUCUUACCGAGCAACGCGGCGUGAGUGAAGAAGGGUUUCUGUGCGUAAAGCCCGGUUGUAAGUGGAGAACGAGUGUGGGAGUGGAAAGUGCACUCUGUGACGGUAGCUUAUCAGAAAGCAACGGCUAACUACGUG
rnacentral:rRNA from 1 species